ACUUUACAAUGCUGGCAACAGCGAUAAGGGAACCUCGAGUGCCAGGUUACAAAUCUGGCUGUCGGGAUGCCUAAAAAGCAUUUCAUAGCAAGGGCCGGGCAAGACCGGUGCCAGCCGCCGCGGUAACACCGGCGGCUCGAGUGGUAACCGUUAUUAUUGGGUCUAAAGGGUCUGUAGCCGGCCGGAUAAGUCUCUUGAGAAAUAUGGCAGUUUAACUGUCAGGCUUUCAGGAGAUACUGUCUGGCUCGAGGCCGGGAGAGGUGAGGGUUACUACAGGGGUGGGGGUGAAACCUGGUAUCCUUGGAGGACCACCAGUGGCAAAAGCGGCGCCCCAGGACGGGACUUGCCGCAAAGGGCCAACGGUAAGGGCACGAACCGG
rnacentral:rRNA from 1 species